UGGGCACCCAAGGCAGGACUCAGGACAGUCCCCAUCAUGGCCUGGUCCCCUCUCCUCCUCACCCUCCUGGCUCACUGCACAGGGUCCUGGGCCCAGUCUGUGCUGACUCAGCCACCAUCGAUGUCUGGAUCCCCGCGGGAGACGGUCACCAUCUCCUGCUUGGGAAGCAGCAGCAACAUCGGGGGUGGGUAUAGUGUGCAGUGGUACCAGCAGCCCCAAGGAAUGGCCCCUAAACUCAUUAUCUAUGGUAACAGCAAUAGACCCUCAGGGGUCCCUGACAGAUUCUCUGGCUCCAAGUCUGGCAGCUCAGGCUCCCUGACCAUCACGGGGCUCCAGAGUGAAGAUGAGGCUGAUUAUUACUGUCAGUCCUAUGACAGCAGCCUGCGUGCUCCCACAGUGCUCCAGGCCCAGGGGGAAGUGAGACAAAAACCCCCUUCUCACCCCUCAAGAGAGUGA